CAGUCAUCAAUCACAAUAUGUAAAUUUACAGUUUAGUCCUUAUAAUUGAUCCUUUUUGCAAAAACUACCUAAAUAAGCUCUAAAAAUUCUAAAAUUUUUACCCCGCGGUCCCUAAUAAUAUUAUAUGACUAUUGCAAAAGGAAUUAUAAUUUUUCGAUAAUCCACGAAUAUUUUAUGAAUUUUCUUCUAAAUCGAUAUUAGCCGAAAAUGAGCAAUUUGGAGUUCGGAUUAAUCUAUUCUGACACCUGGAACGCGUUCAGAAAGUUUGAAAAUGCUAGAAUUGACUGUAAUAUCGACCACUUUCUGAGACGAGCUGCCAUGCAGCCGGAUUUGACUAAAAAUGCGAUCCCGACACCGAUGAGCUAUCAUCGAUCCGAUUGCACCGAGCGAUCUGGACUGUCCGAUUAUCGCCUUUAUCAAACGGUGUCCGACCGAAGCGGGACCAGUCUUAUCUCCAAGAUCUCGUCGUCUUGAGUCCAUCGGUGGCCUCGGAUU
rnacentral:misc_RNA from 1 species